rnacentral:rRNA from 1 species
AUCAACGCUGGCGGCGUGCCUAACACAUGCAAGUCGAACGAGAAAGCGGGGGCAACCCCGUGAGUAAAGUGGCGACCGGGUGAGUAACACGUGACUAACCUACCCUCAAGUGGGGAAUAACUUCGGGAAACCGAGGCUAAUACCGCAUAACAUCGCGAGUUGGAAUACUUGCGAUCAAAGAAGCAAUUCGCUGGAGGAGGGGGUCGCGGCUGAUUAGCUUGUUGGCAGGGUAACGGCCUACCAAGGCGAUGAUCAGUAGCCGGCCUGAGAGGGCGCACGGCCACACUGGAACUGAAACACGGUCCAGACUCCUACGGGAGGCAGCAAGUGGGGAAUCUUGCGCAAUGGGCGAAAGCCUGACGCAGCGAACGCCGCGUGGAGGAUGAAGUCCCUUCGGGUACGUAAACUCCUUUCGAAUUGGGGAAUACUUAGAAGGUACCCGUAUGAAGAAGCCACUGCUAACUUCGUGCCAGCAGCCGCGGUAAUACGUAGGGGGGCGAAGCGUUAUCCGGAGUUACUUGGGCGUAAAGAGUUGCGCAGGUGGAAUAUCGCGUCACUCCUUAAAGCCUUGGGCUCAACCCAAGACUAGGGAAUGAUACGGAUGUUCUUCGAGAAAUCUAGGGGCAAGCGGAACUUUCGGUGGAGCAGUGAAAUGCGUUGAUAUCGAAAGGAACACCAAAGGCGAAGGCAGCUUGCUGGGGAUUUUCUGACACUGAGGCACGAAAGCAUGGGGAGCGAACCGGAUUAGAUACCCGGGUAGUCCAUGCCGUAAACGAUGGAUGCUAGAUAUUGGAGGUAUUGACCCCUUCAGUGUCCCAAGCUAACGCAUUAAGCAUCCCGCCUGGGGAGUACGGCCGCAAGGCUAAAACUCAAAGGAAUUGACGGGGACCUGCACAAGCAGUGGAGCGUGUGGUUUAAUUCGUUACAAAGCGAAGAACCUCACCUAGGUUUGACAUGUGACUGCAAGCUGGUGGAAACACCGGCCGCCUUCGAGGGUGUCACACAGAUGCUGCAUGGCUGUCGUCAGCUCGUGUCGUGAGAUGUUGGGUUAAGUCCCGUAACGAGCGCAACCCCUACGUUCAGUUGUAUCACUCUGGACGAACUGCCUCCAUACAAGGAGGAGGAAGGCGGGGAUGACGUCAAGUCAGCAUAGCUCUUACACCUAGGGCUACACACACCCUACAAUGGGGUAGACAACAGGAUGCGAAGGAGUAAUCCGGAGCCAAUCCCUUAAACUAUCCCUCAGUUCAGAUUGGGGCUGCAACCCGCCCCCAUGAAGUCGGAAUUGCUAGUAAUCGCAGAUCAGCAGCUGCGGUGAAUACGUUCUCAGGUCUUGUACACACCGCCCGUCAAGCCAACAAAGUUGGGGGCACCCGAAGCAUGCCUUUUGGCAUAUCAAGGUGAACUCAGCGAUGGGGACUAAGUCGUAACAAGGUAA